rnacentral:misc_RNA from 1 species
UUUCUGUAGGUGAACCUGCGGAAGGAUCAUUAACGAAUGUCGAGUCGGCCGACCGUGCUGGCGGUGACGCACGUGCACGUCGGUCGCAACACAUCCACACACCUGUGAACGUAUGGCCUUUGGGUCUUCGGACCCGGGGCAAACCUUUUUCACCCACUCCGAUCGUAAAGGAAUGUCCGCUUGCGAACUCGCAAAAGCAAACAACUUUCAACAACGGAUCUCUUGGCUCUCGCAUCGAUGAAGAACGCAGC